rnacentral:snoRNA from 1 species
CCCUCCUACAAAGGCGUGUCCGUGGUUCCCUGUCCUUGGACAUGUAAGAAUUGGAGGCAAAGAGAUGUGGGCUUGGAGAAGCCUGGAGCCAGCUUGCUCUCCUCAGGCUCAGGAUCACCCAUUCCCACCCAG